UCUUACUACACCUAUAAAGGUAUUUGUUUUUCCUCCAUUAAAGAAAAUUGUUGUAAACUGGACUUGGCCCGUUUGGUCACUUGCAAUUAUUAGGUUGUUUGGUGGCCUUCAGUAGGUGGAGGUGGGUGAGGGCUGUAGCUGUCCUCUCCCCAACUUCACUAGGUGGUACUUUACACUAAAAUCAGAUUUUGGACCAAUUUCUGCGUCAUUCCUGUUUACAAACAACUGGGCACCAGAACAGACAUCCUUGUAACAAUCAACCUGUCUUGUAAGCUUGAAAAAGUCCCAGCUCUGUCCUUUCGGGAACCCAACAAUACCUUAUAUGAAAGGGUUAUUAGAUGUGAAUCCAGCAAUAUUCCAGCAUAUUCAGUGUCAGAUGACCUGAUUGUGUUUAACUUGUAGACACAGAACAGGUUAGUAAUCUGGGAAUCUCAGGGAUAAUGGGCUUGCUAGAGUCUUACACCCUGUUCGUGGAAGGGCUCGAGUGCCCUGCAGUAGUUGGGUCAAUCCACCUGCCUUUAACACCACUAAUUUGGCUAUUGAAAAUAGUAGCUUAUUAACAAAGUCUCUGAUGUUGAGCUACAGAUAAAGCUCUUGUGGUAGUAGCCUCUGAAGUGACUCGAGCUUUUCACAUGCUAACCAUCAAACUUAAAUGUUAACUAACCACUCCUAGAGUGUAUAUUAUGACUAAUUAACAUCUGCCAAAAUAAUUUAGGUUACACUGGAUAUGACAGAAGUUAUUAAGGAUUCCUGCACUGGGGUGGGGUAGAUGUAUUCACUGCUCUGAAGUCAACCCCCCUGCUGAAUAGAGUGUGACUGGCAUUUCUCCUUGGUGACAGCCUUUACCUUCUGAGUGGGGUGUGUGAGAGAGAGAGACAGACAUACAGGGAUGGAAGUCUACUUAAAAUUUGCAGUUGAAAAUAAUUUUGCAGUUCACACAUACAAGAGAACCCUCACAUCUGCAAAUGUCUCACUAUUUCAGGCUUAUUUCAUUAGGUUUGCUUUAACGUUAUCUCUGCAAAAAUGGUUAGAGGCAGGAACAGAGGGGCCAUAUUUACCUUGACAGCUGAAAGACGUAAAAUAUUAGGUUUAUUUCUACUAUAUUUCCAUUAUUAGUUUAGUUAUUCUUUAUUCAAGUUUCAGCUUGAUUGUGGAGAUUUGGAGCUGAGUAGACUGGAGUAAAAUAAGAUGUCAGAAAUUCAGAUGACACUAAAUGUCUUUUUAUCAUACAUUAUCAACGGAAACCAUGAUGUGGAAGUUCCUUCUAUAUGUCACGGAAAAGGAAACGACCAGGGAUAAAUAAAAGGAUUCUCCAUUCCGAUCUUGGGAAUAAAUCCCAUCAGUCCAUUCCCCAGAAUUCUCAGCAGUGUUUGGGGGCCAAGUCCAUGAUGUGUGUCAGAAUAUACACCCCUCCACACCAAAAGUUUCUAGUUAUAUUCUGUAUUCUUUUCCUCUAGCUGUGAGGUUUAGGGAUAAAUGCCUGAGUUUCAAGGGAACAGAUGUUGUGAAUAUUUAUGGAAAAUAGCAAUGUCUCCAUGAAUUGAAAAUGGGCAGGCCCUGUCCUCUCAAUGCUCCCAUUCGAGAGCUACUUUGUUUACAGUUGCCACUUGCACACGAUUUACACAGGAGACAUGUCAGCUGGAACCAAGGAGAUAAAUUCUUAUACUUAAAAUUAUUAGUAGAUUAUAACUGCCAUCCCAAACAAUCUUCAAUAAACAAAACCCAGCUUUCUGAGAUAGUUGACUCUUUCGCUCCAUCUAGAGGUGGAAGACCAAAUGGUUGCCCUCUUGAGGUUUUCCCAGCCCUGCCAUUUACCGUUUUAUGACCAGGUGCCCUAUGGCCCAGGAGGAUCCUUGGUAACAUGGCCUAAACUGGUUGUAUUUAUUGUCAUGGCAUGGGAUUGGACUAUGAAAGUUGAUUAGAGGAGAGCUUGAGGGAAAGCCUCCCUGGGAAUCCAGAACAUCAGAUUUGCUACACUGGCUUAGCACUGGGGCCCAUCCCGCUACAAAAUGUAUGACAGCCAAAAAGAGAUGAUUUAUGUUUCUCCUCCAGAGGUUAGGAAUGUACUUCAAACAUUCACAGUGUCCUUUAGUAACUCACAGGGGAUCUGUGAAGCCCAGGGUUGCACGUGAUUUUCUAAGUGAAGGAACACCAUUGUUUUGGUUUUCAAUAUUCUUUCCAAUAACGACCGGUAUUUCUUUUAAUCCGCCCUAACACAUUGAUCAGGCUAAAUUAAAUUCCUCUCUUAAGCUGUGUUGACGGCUCAGUAUCCAUCCUAUUUUAACUACAGGCAGCAGUAUUUAGUCCUAAAUGCAUUAGUUUGCACUUGCUCACACUGUGGCUCAUUUAUGCCUCUGCUUUUUCACGUGGUCCUAUGAGAACUUAUCAUGUAUAUUCGGCUGAGCACUUCAAUACCCAGAAGAGCAUUCGGCAUCUUAGGUUUCAUUGUGUACUUGAAAUUCCAAGUCCUUUGUAAAAAAAAAUGUUAAGUAGCUGGUGUUGCUACUGGAUCCCUAGAUUAUUCCACUUGUCCAUCCCGAAAAGUUCCUGUUUAUCCUCUGCCUUCUGUUUCUAUUUCUAAGCCCAUGCUUUAAGACAUAACAUCUGCCGCAGCCUGUUCCCUCUCCACGUGGUCUUAACCUCUUAGCUUCUUUACUUCUCACUUUCACCCCUGUAAAUUAGUACUCUCUACCUCACAGGGGUUUUAGGGAGGGAAAAAUAGGAUGUUUAAGGGUUGUCUUCAAGAGAGGUCCUACUUUUAGAGUGAUUUUAUAAACGCCUCUUGGCUUAGAAAUGAGAAACUCUAUAGCUAUUAUUUUUUUCCUAUUCUUGUUUAGCUAUUUUUAUUUCUGAAAAGUGAUCUCUGUCUAAAUAAUGUUUUUACUCUGGUUUUGACUUUCUUCCCAUUAACCCUUUUCUCACUAACUCCUACCUUACCCAUGCUCUGAACUUUUUACGUACAGAGCCAGAACGAAUUCUCUCCCAACAAAUCCCACAUAGUUUUACUUCCAUCAUGGAGCAAGUUAAUGUCCUCUGUAAAGAGACAUCUGGCUAAUGAUCUCAUUUGGCCCUGGCAAGAUCUCACCACGUGCCUUGGUUCUCCCUGUAUAAACUGAGGUUAGUUCUGCUAUUUCACAGCACAUGGGUGUUGUGAGUCCUAACUAAUAAAUAGUGAAAAGCAUUUUGUAAAUGCCCUGUACCAUAUAAAUGCAUAGUGAAUAAUCUGGAGAGUCUUCAAGGAGAAAUGUGUUCUUGUGUAGCUCAAUUCGCCUAUUUUUAAAAGAAAUAUUUUACUAACCUGUUUUUUUUUUUUAAGUGAAAAUUAGUUUCUAGUCAUUUGAACUAUUUUUAUUUUGAUGUAUAGGAAUAAAUCAAUAGUAUAUAUUCUUGCUUGUCAGAAAACACCCAAGUUGUAUUUUAAGUGUUAAAACUGAAAGGGUUGCAUAACAAUGUAGUGGAGCAGGGGGAGGAUUCUAGCUCAAAUGUGGUGAAAUAGAGAACUAUGAAGAUUAAGUGUGAUUUUGAGAUUGUAUUAUAAAUAGUAGAUGUUAAUGUAGUUGUUUUUUAGAUAUUCUUUAUUUUUGAGUUACCAGAAAUUGUCUUUUAUUUUUGCAGUUUUGAACUAUAUCGUUCCUGAUGUGUUUUGAAUAAAGUUUUUAUCAACUAAAGUUUUUCAUUUACAUUAUUAUCAAUAAAUCAAUUAUGAUUAAAAUACAUGUAAAAAUUAAUAACCUAAUUACAUAACUAUAAAAUUCAAGAUCUGAAGAACAUCUUUUAUCAAAAGGGUAAGUUUCUACACUGGAGUCGUUUUAUCAAAAAGAUUUUAAAAAUAGUAACCAAAGUACUUUUAUACUUCAAGCAGUAUUGGAAAUGUUUUUUUAAACAUGUAACAAGUUACAUGUUAUGAUAAUUUCUUUGAAAAUUGCGUAAUAGUUUUUUUUUAUGAAGCUAAAUUUAUUCCACUUAAAGAAUUGUUCUUCAUGCCUGAUUAAUCCUUAGGUGUUAAAAUGUACUUCCUCGUGAAAUGAUUUUGGUACUAGAUGGUAACUUCUUAAGUGUUAUUAUGGCAUCUAUGAUGGAUCCUUGAAUUUUGUUUUAGGAAUGGAAGCUUUACUGGUCUGUGAAAUCUCAAAGUCUGGGAACCACUUUAAUAAAAAAAACCUUUUAUUGAGA
rnacentral:lncRNA from 1 species